CAUGUCUUAGCCAGCUUCUUUUGUAUAUUUCCUACCUUUCAAAGGGCAUGAGACUGGGGAUGUGUACUUUUAUAAUGCCUGGACUGCAUGUGAACCUCAAGAACUCAGAGCCCUUAGUGACAAGACCCUUGGCAUACUUUCCAUAGUUUCUGAGCAAAUGCUUAGCAAUGGCAGGGCGACUCACCACCACAAAAUUUCUAGGCCCAGCAGCAAGGCAAUAAAUGGGUCCAUACUCAAUCAUCCAUUUGAAGAGUGGGAGAAAAAGAGCACCACCCAGAAGAUCAGACACGUCAUUUGAUAAUAGGUGGGAUGCCUACCAGUAGCUGAAGGUACUUAACAGGAUUUUGUUGAAUUUUUGGUGUUUUGGUUGCUUUUAGUUCAAGUGAAUUCCAUGAGUUUGCUGCUGUAGUUGAGAUAUUGGAUGACCCAAGUUGCAACUGACCCCAGCAACACAAGACAUAUGGAUCAUGGUUUUGAGGACAGAAGGCCAUUGUAUGGAUGGAUUGUAAAUCUCCAUUGGAAGGUUCUACAGUUGAUAGAAUGAUAGUUAUGGUGUAAAUGCAUAGAAAGAUUCAAAAUCUUCUUUUGUAUUUCCAUUCCCAAGUUGGCUCCAAGCCAUGAACUAUAUAAUAUCAUUUAAAACUAAGAGUGCGUUUGGAUUGAGUGAUUUUUGGGAGAAUGGAAAAUCAGGAAGAGAAAAGAUAAUUUUUGGUUGUUUGGUAGAGAGAGAAAAUGAGAGUUGAUUUUGGUAGGGCAUGGGUAUUUCCCAGAGCCCACAAAAAACAAACCUUCCCAAAUCUGAGAGAAAACGAGUGAGAAGAGAUGUGCAAGUGUGAAAUGACAUAAGUACCCCAUUUGUUGUUCAUGCUACUACCAUUUGAUGAAACGUACAUUGUUAUUUA